rnacentral:rRNA from 1 species
UACAGAGGGGGCAAGCGUUGUUCGGAAUUACUGGGCGUAAAGGGCUCGUAGGCGGCCAACUAAGUCAGACGUGAAAUCCCUCGGCUUAACCGGGGAACUGCGUCUGAUACUGGAUGGCUUGAAUCCGGGAGAGGGAUGCGGAAUUCCAGGUGUAGCGGUGAAAUGCGCAGAUAUCGGGAGGAACACCAGUGGCGAAGGCGGAACUCUGGGCCGGAACUGACGCUGAGGAGCGAAAGCGUGGGGAGCGAACAGG